CGAAACCUUCGAGGAACCUUAGUUCCUUCUUGUCUCUUUGUCGUCGUUCUGCUAUCGUCAUGUCAUACCAACUAGCCCAAGCUGCCACACUUCCCCGUCUUGAGUUCGCACUUGCUGGCCCCAGCAGGUUAUGUGGUCUUGGCAAGGCUUUCGCCGACCAAGCGGCUACGUCGGACCGCAAGACGCCAAGUUCACCGGGACUGUACUGCCAAAGCUCAUCCCGGCUUUAAAAGAAGUACCAAAAGAGGUGCGAGAGAAACGCAAGAAAGAGG